AUACAACAUUAAACACUCAGCACUGAAGUACAGUGAUGAAAACAUCAAGCAAGACUAAAAAGGAAAGAUAACUUAACAUUGAAAAUAAGCCAUCUCAUCGAUGACCUCCUAGCUAUAUCAUUGUUACGUCUUACUAACUAGAGCAUGACAUUCAGCAUUUCGUUCCAGGUAUCAGGUACUCCAGGAAGGCACCAAUGACUACAAUCAGAUUUAUAGUCUCCUAAGUGCUGCUUACCUGUUUGGCUUACAAACUUACUAUAGACAGAAGGAUGCCCGUCUCUUCGAAGAGCUGUCAUUGUUGUUAUAUCCUGGAAAGAUACCGGAAAACUCAUCCCUCGUAGCACCUCUUUUAGCACCAACAGUGGUUCUGGUACAUGCGGAUGGCUAAAGAACUCCAGAGGCUCCCUCUGGUUGAAGCAUUUCCAUCCAUUUUCCCUGUUAUGUCGAGGUGACAUGCUUCUGAAGAAAACUCGAGUUUUUCGAGGAUCAAGAUUCAAAUCAACCCACUUAGCCCAUGUCAUUAGUCCUUUCUCAUAGGCAACCAUUGGGUUCAUGUUUCUAUAGAAACUGUUCCCUUCCAUAAUCAAGUCCCAAGAACUAUAUUUAUCGGAGUGAGUCCACCAAUGAGCUGAAUCAAAAACAAGAACAUCAGCUCCUCUCCAAUACUUUGCAUUCUCUUCAAUCAUGUCCAGAUGCAAUAUUCUCUUGUUUUCUGGUCCUUUCUUCAGUUCCACCAAGAAAGGAGCCCAGCAGAAUUCUAUUGUUGUCUCGAAAUCCAUAGCAUGGAAGGCCAUAGUAGGACCAACAUAAGUUACUGUUUUUCUAGCCAUAGGGAUAACAGAUUGAACUAAGCAAACAAG
rnacentral:misc_RNA from 1 species